CUCUUGAGAGCGGCGGACGGGUGAGUAAUGCCUAGGAAUCUGCCUGGUAGUGGGGGAUAACGUUCGGAAACGGACGCUAAUACCGCAUACGUCCUACGGGAGAAAGCAGGGGACCUUCGGGCCUUGCGCUAUCAGAUGAGCCUAGGUCGGAUUAGCUAGUUGGUGAGGUAAUGGCUCACCAAGGCGACGAUCCGUAACUGGUCUGAGAGGAUGAUCAGUCACACUGGAACUGAGACACGGUCCAGACUCCUACGGGAGGCAGCAGUGGGGAAUAUUGGACAAUGGGCGAAAGCCUGAUCCAGCCAUGCCGCGUGUGUGAAGAAGGUCUUCGGAUUGUAAAGCACUUUAAGUUGGGAGGAAGGGCAGUUACCUAAUACGUGAUUGUUUUGACGUUACCGACAGAAUAAGCACCGGCUAACUCUGUGCCAGCAGCCGCGGUAAUACAGAGGGUGCAAGCGUUAAUCGGAAUUACUGGGCGUAAAGCGCGCGUAGGUGGUUUGUUAAGUUGGAUGUGAAAUCCCCGGGCUCAACCUGGGAACUGCAUUCAAAACUGACUGACUAGAGUAUGGUAGAGGGUGGUGGAAUUUCCUGUGUAGCGGUGAAAUGCGUAGAUAUAGGAAGGAACACCAGUGGCGAAGGCGACCACCUGG
rnacentral:rRNA from 1 species